rnacentral:rRNA from 1 species
UACGAAGGGGGCUAGCGUUGUUCGGAUUUACUGGGCGUAAAGCGCACGUAGGCGGAUCGAUCAGUCAGGGGUGAAAUCCCAGGGCUCGACCCUGGAACUGCCUUUGAUACUGUCGAUCUGGAGUAUGGAAGAGGUGAGUGGAAUUCCGAGUGUAGAGGUGAAAUUCGUAGAUAUUCGGAGGAACACCAGUGGCGAAGGCGGCUCACUGGUCCAUUACUGACGCUGAGGUGCGAAAGCGUGGGGAGCAAACAGG